UUGAGAUCUUUGGAUGCCUGGAUCCAGUUGAAAACAUUUAAUUUCCACCCUGGGCGUAGUCUACUCCAGCUUCCUUGUGGUGCGCUGUUUCUGUCUGCCUUUUGUCUGUGUGCUGCUGGUGUCGGAGCCGGCUUUCCAGGACAAGUUGUCACAACCCAGAAGCUUCGAGGCCAAACGAGGAGGCAGCUGUGGGAUGCUAAGAAGACCCCUGGAAUUGGAGUGAGACCAACUUUUGAAAUCUGAGCCGCUGAGUCCACAUGUGAGCAGGGAGUGUGGCCCAGGCCUAAGCAAGGAAGACAGAGCUCGAGUUUCACCUCCUGCAGCUCUGAUCGUCAACCAAGAGAUGAUGGAACUGUAACAGAAGGGACUCAAAAGCAAUGACAGAACCCAGGCGUGCCAUCUCUGUGGCUUCGGAGAACCUCCCUCUCUCUACUGCAGAGACCUUAUCAGUAAAACGCAGUGACUGGAACUUCUAGGCAGCACCCAGCCCUGGAGGGGAGACGCACAGUUAGGGCUGUGGUUCUGAGAGACUCUGAAUCUUCUUGGAAUCAAAAAGCCCCACAGGCAGAUUUUCGAAGGCCAAGAAUUUUGGAACUCCUGCAGUCUUAACUCCCUGGAUUAACACUCUGUGACCAGACAACAGAGCAUAGCCAGAAAAAGUUCAGCAAUUUGGACUUAGACUCUUUUUCUGACUUUGGACAAUUUGCAUCCCUUUUCUGCCUCAGUUUUUCUUAUCUGUAAAAUGACUGCUUGAUCAGCCUAUAAAUCAGGCAAAGGAAAACAGAUUGCCUGGUUCAAACUUUAGGUGAACCACUUGCCAGCUACAUGACCUUGGGAAUGACACUUACCUCCCUAAAUCUCAGUUUCCUCAUCUGUAAAAUGGGGAUGGUAAGACCACCCACUGAAGAAUUGAUACUUUUGAACUGUGGUGUUGGAGAAGACUCUUGAGAGUCCUUUAGACUUUGAGGAGAUCAACCAGUUCAUCCUAAAGGAAAUCAGUCCUGAAUAUUCAUUGGAAGGACUGAUGCUGAAGCUGAAACUCCAAUACUUUGGCCACCUGAUGGAAAGAACUGACUCAUUUCCCUGAUGCUGGGAAAGAUUGAAGGCACGAGGAGAAGGGGACGACAGAGGGUGAGAUGGUUGGACGGCAUCACCGACUAGAUGGACAUGAGUUUGAGUAAGCUCUGGGAGCUGGUGAUGGACAGGGAAUCCUGUUGUGAGGCAGUCUAUGGGGUCCCAAAGAGUGAGACACGAUUCAGCGAUUCAGCGACUGAACUGAACUGAAGACCACCCACCUCAUAGGGUUCUUGGAAGAAGUCAAUGAGAUAAUGGAUUUACAAUGCAAAGCACAAAGUAAAUGCUUAGUAAAUCUUGGUGGUUGCUGCAAUCCUAGAGAAGAGAAAGAAAGAGGGUAGCUGGCAACAGACAGGCAGAGAUAUAUAUUUAAAUUUCAAGUGUUCCCACCCAAUCUUGCCGAACCCAUCCUCCUCCAGAAUGCCUGUGCCCAUCAUACACAGUGAAAUGGACAGGACAUUUUAGAGACUGUAGGUGAGAUGUAAGGGAGGGUAAUGCUUGAGAAACACUGGACAAUGCUUUCUAAGUGCCAGAGAAAUGGAUACUGCCUUUUAGCCCAAUAACUCCACUGCUGAGAUACAAGGACAUUGUUUGACACACACACAAAAAGAUGUAAGUACAAAGUGUUCAUCUGAGCUUUUUAUAAUAAAAAAUUGGAAACAAUUUAGCAGUCAUUAAUAGGGAAAGAUUUGAAUGAAGAAUAUUUUGUAACUAUUAAAACUAGACCUGUG
ensembl:lncRNA